rnacentral:rRNA from 1 species
GUGGGGAAUCUUAGACAAUGGGGGCAACCCUGAUCUAGCCAUGCCGCGUGAGUGAUGAAGGCCUUAGGGUCGUAAAGCUCUUUCGCUGGGGAAGAUAAUGACGGUACCCAGUAAAGAAACCCCGGCUAACUCCGUGCCAGCAGCCGCGGUAAUACGGAGGGGGUUAGCGUUGUUCGGAAUUACUGGGCGUAAAGCGCGCGUAGGCGGAUUGGAAAGUUGGGGGUGAAAUCCCGGGGCUCAACCCUGGAAUGGCCUUCAAAACUCCCAGUCUUGAGGUCGAGAGAGGUGAGUGGAAUUGCGAGUGUAGAGGUGAAAUUCGUAGAUAUUCGGAGGAACACCAGUGGCGAAGGCGGCUCACUGGCUCGAUACUGACGCUGAGGUGCGAAAGCGUGGGGAGCAAACAGGAUUAGAUACCCGAGUAGUCC